rnacentral:rRNA from 1 species
AGAACUUAGCAGAGAUGCUUUGGUGCCUUCGGGAACUCUGAGACAGGUGCUGCAUGGCUGUCGUCAGCUCGUGUUGUGAAAUGUUGGGUUAAGUCCCGCAACGAGCGCAACCCUUAUCCUUUGUUGCCAGCGGUUAGGCCGGGAACUCAAAGGAGACUGCCAGUGAUAAACUGGAGGAAGGUGGGGAUGACGUCAAGUCAUCAUGGCCCUUACGAGUAGGGCUACACACGUGCCACAAUGGCGCAUACAAAGAGAAGCGACCUCGCGAGAGCAAGCGGACCUCAUAAAGUGCGUCGUAGUCCGGAUUGGAGUCUGCAACUCGACUCCAUGAAGUCGGAAUCGCUAGUAAUCGUGGAUCAGAAUGCCACAGUGAAUACGUUCCCGGGCCUUGUACACACCGCCCGUCACACCAUGGGAGUGGGUUGCAAAAGAAGUAGGUAGCUUAACCUUCGGGAGGGCGCUUACCACUUUGUGAUUCAUGACUGGGGUGAAGUCGUAACAAGGUAAGCGUAGUGCU